AGAUUGAACGCUGGCGGCAGGCCUAACACAUGCAAGUCGAGCGGUAGAGAGGUGCUUGCACCUCUUGAGAGCGGCGGACGGGUGUGUAAUGCCUAGGAAUCUGCCUAGUGGUGGGGGAUAACGUUCGGAAACGGACGCUAAUACCGCAUACGCCCUACGGGAGAAAGCGGGGGACCUUCGGGCCUCGCGCCAUUAGAUGAGCCUAGGUCGGAUUAGCUAGUUGGUGAGGUAAUGGCUCACCAAGGCGACGAUCCGUAACUGGUCUGAGAGGAUGAUCAGUCACACUGGAACUGAGCGAAAAAAAAACGGUCCACGAC
rnacentral:rRNA from 1 species